rnacentral:rRNA from 1 species
CAUGCNCCCNUUAAAGGACUUCGGUCCUUGGCAGACGGCUCNGUAACACGUGGAGAACCUGCCCUCAGGAGGGGGAUAACCCCGGGAAACUGGGAAUAAUACCCCAUAGGUCUAGAAUGCUGGAAUGCUUCUAGGCUCAAAGCUCCGGCGCCUGAGGAUGGCUCUGCGGCUUAUCAGGUUGUAGUGAGAGUAACGUCCUCACUAGCCUAUGACGGGUACGGGCCCUGAGAGGGGAUGCCCGGAGAUGGACUCUGAGACACGAGUCCAGGCCCUACGGGGCGCAGCAGGCGCGAAAACUCCGCAAUGCUCGAAAGAGUGACGGGGGGAUUCCAAGUGCCUACGCUUAGCGUAGGCUGUUCAGAUGCCUAAAAAGCAUCUGGAGUAAGGGCUGGGUAAGACGGGUGCCAUCUGUGGCAGCAGCCGAAGAUUUGGUUUGCUACUGCAAGGCAUAAGCCGCCGCGGUAAUACCCGCAGCCCGAGUGGUAGUCGAUUUUAUUGGGCCUAAAGCGUCCGUAUCCGGUCUGAUAANUGCUUGG